AUGGCUCUCGCUCUAGCAGGUCGCCUACUCAUGGUGCUGCUCCUCGCGGGCACAGGCGUCGCAGCGCCGCCGCCGCCGCAGGUCUCGCCUUCGGAGGCAACGGUUGACAGCAUUACGGCCAUCUACAACUUCGGGGACUCCAUCUCGGACACGGGGAACCUCCUCCGGGAAGGCGACACCGGAAUGCUGCGUUACACCACGGGCCUUCCCUACGGUGUCACCAUCGGCCGCCCCACCGGCCGUUGCUCCGACGGCUUCCUCAUGAUCGACUUCCUUGCUGAAGAUCUCGGCCUCCCGCUGCUCAACCCGUACCUCGACAGGCGCGCGGAUUUCACGCACGGCGUCAACUUCGCCGUCGCCGGAGCCACCACGCUCAGCACGACGGCGCUGGCCAACAGGGGGCUCACCGUCUCCCACACCAACAGCUCCCUUGGAGUCCAGCUCAGAUGGUUCAAAGAGUUCAUGAGCUCCACAACUAACUCCCCUCGAGAGAUAGAUAAGAAACUAGCGAGUUCACUGGUGAUGCUGGGGGAGAUCGGCGGCAACGACUACAACUACGUCUUCCUACAGCCCCGGCGGACGAACGACAGACACGACCCGAUCAGCAAUGCUACCCGCAGCGCGGAGAGCUUGGCGCACGCCCUCUCACUCGUACCCGAGGUCGUGCAAUCCGUAGCAGACGCAGCCAAGGAGGUGCUGGACAUGGGCGCCACGAGGAUGGUCAUCCCCGGCAACUUCCCCAUCGGGUGCAUGCCGAGCUACCUGACCGCGGCCACGGCGUCGAGCCCCGCGUCGCUGCGCGACGGCGACGGCUGCCUCGUCUCCUUCAACGUCCUGGCGCGCGCGCACAACGAGCGCCUGCGCCGCGCCGUCGGGGAGCUGCGGCGGUCGCCGGACGCGACGGUGGCCUACGCCGACUACUUCGCCGCCUACCUCGAGAUCCUCCGCCACGCGCCGCGGCUCGGCUUCGAGGGCGGCGCGGCCCUGCGUAGGGCGUGCUGCGGCGCGGGCGGCGGGGAGUAUAACUUUGAUCACAACAGGCUGUGCGGCGCGCCGGGGACGACGGUGUGCGCGGACCCGAGCAGGCGUCCUAGCUGGAACGGCAUCCACCUCACGCAGCAUGGUUACCGCGUCAUGACCGAGCUGCUGUAUCGCCGAGGGCUCGCGUGCCCGGCUGCGGUGAAACUCCCGCGCCAGAAGCCUUGCCUGCCCGUGAGUUGA
rnacentral:rRNA from 1 species